GAUGAACGCUGGCGGCGUGCUUAACACAUGCAAGUCGAACGGAAAGGCCCAAGCUUGCUUGGGUACUCGAGUGGCGAACGGGUGAGUAACACGUGGGUGAUCUGCCCUGCACUUCGGGAUAAGCCUGGGAAACUGGGUCUAAUACCGGAUAGGACCACUUCUUGGAUGUUGUGGUGGAAAGUUUUUUCGGUGUGGGAUGAGCUCGCGGCCUAUCAGCUUGUUGGUGGGGUAAUGGCCUACCAAGGCGUCGACGGGUAGCCGGCCUGAGAGGGUGUACGGCCACAUUGGGACUGAGAUACGGCCCAGACUCCGACGGGAGGCAGCAGUGGGGAAUAUUGCACAAUGGGCGCAAGCCUGAUGCAGCGACGCCGCGUGGGGGAUGACGGCCUUCGGGUUGUAAACUCCUUUCGCUAGGGACGAAGCGUUUUGUGACGGUAUCUGGAGAAGAAGCACCGGCUAACUACGUG
rnacentral:rRNA from 1 species